AAGGACAAAUGCUGGUUUACUGAUUCAAGAAUAUGAUGGCUCAUCUCUGUUUUCUCACUGUGUUUUCUCAGCAGUUAAACAUCUCCGUAGCACAAUCGAACUCUUCCAUUCAGUAUUUUAUCGAGGGCAUCAAGUUACUCAACUGUACAAACUCACUCAUCUGUACAAACCCACUCAUCUGUACAACCUCACUCAUCUCAAACCUGUCAGAGCGCCUGAAACGUUUCUCUCAGAGUAUCGUGAAGUCUGGGUGUGUGCAGGCAGAACCGUAUCAAUCAGUCAAACCAGAAACGUUUCAUAAGAAACUGAAAACGCUGUUUGACUGUUACAACAGUUGCUUAAAAACAGCGAAAUUUACCACCUGAUUCUUCUGUCGCAAUACAACU